rnacentral:rRNA from 1 species
UGCAAACGUUGUUCGGAAUUACUGGGCGUAAAGCGCGUGUAGGCUGCUUCGAAAGUCGGAUGUGAAAGCCCUGGGCUCAACCUAGGAAGUGCAUUCGAAACUUCGAAGCUGGAGUCCUGGAGAGGAAGGCGGAAUUCUCGGUGUAGAGGUGAAAUUCGUAGAUAUCGAGAGGAACACCGGUGGCGAAGGCGGCCUUCUGGACAGUGACUGACGCUGAGACGCGAAAGCGUGGGGAGCAAACAGG